rnacentral:misc_RNA from 1 species
CGAAGCUUCGUUCUCUUCUGAUUGGUUACGACUAGCAGGCGUAUUUUUAUGGUGGCUUUGGACUGUUGUGGACGACCUUUGAAAUGGUCAUGGCCCCGCGCCGUAAUAAAACACGCGGCAAGGCAACAGCGGCGGCAGGUUCUAAGCAGGUGCCCAGGUGCGCGUUCUGCGACCUGCCACACAGCGACGACAUCAACGGGGAGCUUCUGAGCCGUAACGGCCUCCACGUGCACUACUUUUGCAUGCUCUUCUCGAGCGGCCUGCACCAGAGAGGCGAGGAGGAGGACCCGCUGCGCGGUUUCCUGGAAACAGACGUGCGCGCCGAGCUGCGCCGCGGCAACAGACUGAUAUGUUGUUUCUGCAAGCGAAGAAAUGCCACGGUCGGCUGCUGCCUACGGGCAUGCAAGAAGGCGUUUCAUAUGCCCUGUGGAGUUGAUCGGGACUGCCUGCUUCAGUUCUUCGGUGACUUCAGAGUGUACUGCGCAGCGCACCGCCCUCGCCAGAAUGUGGUGCCACUGGAACGGGAUGGCCCUAGCCUGUGCUCCAUCUGCUCCGAGGAGAUGGUCCACCCAUCAGUGAAUGUGCUGGUGACGCCCUGCUGCAGGCAGAUGUUCCACCGAGGGUGCAUCCAGCGCCAAGCCAUGAGCGCAGGCAGCCACUUCUUCCGCUGCGGCCACUGCAACAACCAGGAGGCCUUCCAAAGAGAGAUGCAGGACCACGGCAUCUACGUGCCUGACCAAGAUGCCUCCUGGGAGCAGGAGCCACAUGCCUACGAGGAGCUGCUCUACCGGUACCAGCACUGCGACGCACCACGUUGCUCCUGCCCCUUAGGGCGCAGCCACCACCAGGAGGAUAGUCGCUGGAGGAUGGUGGUGUGCGACAGCUGUGGCUCCCAGGGCGUCCAUGCAUCCUGCGGCAACGUGGCAGGCACCCACUGGGUCUGUGCAGACUGCCGCCAGAUCAUCACUCGAGUCGCUUAUAAUACAGCACAAAGAGAAAAGCAGCUGGCUGUCAUGACAUCGGACCUGGCGAGUGAAGAUGACAGCAGCCAGCGCAGAAAGUGGCAGCAGCGGCAGCGGAGACGUGCCGCAAGAUUAAUUUCUUCAGAUGAGGAUGCUGCAGACAAUGGUGGCUUUUCGCAAGGCUCUGAGGAAACUUUUUCAACACGCUUCCGUCUGCAAGCAAGCUUCGCGACCCGUCCCGAGCCUCUAGUCCCACUGAAUAGUACCAGUAGCCGCCCGACUGAUGUGCCUUCCCUGGCGAUGACCUCUGAGCAUGCUGGAUCUUCAGCCAUGCCUACAUCAUCCGUGCAAGGUCAAACUUGCAGAGAAAGGAUUUCGCGAAGUCAAGACUGCAGAAGAAAAUUCUGAAGUCGUUGGAAGAGAUGAGAGCAGAGCUCUCAGCACAUGGAGACAUUUUAGAGAAGUUAGAAAUGUCGUACUCGCUGCGAGCACAUGCCCGGAGUCCCAGACCUGUUGAUCGCUGCGUGCUUGAUGUACUACCAUUGGCAUCCCAAGAAGGGUUGCAGGAGCUCGAGAGUCAACUCUCUACUGCUCAGAGUAGGACUAAGCUUGUCUCCUGCCUGUCAACAAUAGGAGGAUCGUCUGCACAGGAUUCCAUGCACCACAUAAUGCGGAGGUGCAUGCAAGACAGUUACGCCCAAGGCUUUAGCAUGACGGGGAGGAAAGGGAAGAAACCAUUUGUGGGCCUCCGCCUUUUCAGUACCAUAAUUGAGGCAGUGAAGAAGAACUUCCCUGAUGCUACCGACAUGAUGCUGCGGUCGUAUGCAGCUGAUUGGCUGCGUUGCGCUUCGUCAAGGAUCCAGAGAAGCAUUGGAGUGCACCAGAGGAUGCCAGCUGUGUCAAGUAGUGUGGAGAACCCAUCUGUUCUGGAGCAAAGCUUUCAGGAACAAUAAAAUAAAGUGACUUUUCCCGUGCAAGUAGUUGC